rnacentral:lncRNA from 1 species
UCGGCAUCGUAUCAUCAGCCUAUAUUUAUGACCACUGCAGGACGAAGGCCUCUCCCUGCGAUCUCCAAUUACCUCUGUUUUGCGCCAACCGAUUCCAACUUGAACCCGCCAAUUUCCUU